UGGCUUCAGGUCGGGGACAACCACUGGAAACGGUGGCUAAUACCGGAUAUGCCGAGAGGUGAAAGAUAUAUUGCCUGAAGAUGAGCUCGCGUCUGAUUAGCUAGUAGGUGUGGUAAAGGCGCACCUAGGCGACGAUCAGUAGCUGGUCUGAGAGGAUGAUCAGCCACACUGGGACUGAGACACGGCCCAGACUCCUACGGGAGGCAGCAGUGGGGAAUUUUCCGCAAUGGGCGAAAGCCUGACGGAGCAAUACCGCGUGAGGGAGGAAGGCUCUUGGGUUGUAAACCUCUUUUCUCAGGGAAGAAAAAAAUGACGGUACCUGAGGAAUAAGCAUCGGCUAACUCCGUGCCAGCAGCCGCGGUAAUACGGAGGAUGCAAGCGUUAUCCGGAAUGAUUGGGCGUAAAGGGUCCGCAGGUGGCUAUGUAAGUCUGCUGUUAAAGAACCUAGCUUAACUAGGUAAAAGCAGUGGAAACUACAAGGCUAGAGUGCGUUCGGGGUAGAGGGAAUUCCUGGUGUAGCGGUGAAAUGCGUAGAUAUCAGGAAGAACACCAGUGGCGAAGGCGCUCUACUAGGCCGCAACUGACACUGAGGGACGAAAGCUAGGGGAGCGAAUGGGAUUAGAUACCCCAGUAGUCCUAGCCGUAAACGAUGGAUACUAGGCGUGGCUUGUAUCGACCCGAGCCGUGCCGGAGCUAACGCGUUAAGUAUSSCGMCUGGGGAGUACGCACGCAAGUGUGAAACUCAAAGGAAUUGACGGGGGCCCGCACAAGCGGUGGAGUAUGUGGUUUAAUUCGAUGCAACGCGAAGAACCUUACCAAGACUUGACAUGUCGCGAAUCUUUCUGAAAGGAAAGAGUGCCUUCGGGAGCGCGAACACAGGUGGUGCAUGGCUGUCGUCAGCUCGUGUCGUGAGAUGUUGGGUUAAGUCCCGCAACGAGCGCAACCCUCGUUUUUAGUUGCCAGCAUUAAGUUGGGCACUCUAGAGAGACUGCCGGUGACAAACCGGAGGAAGGUGGGGAUGACGUCAAGUCAGCAUGCCCCUUACGUCUUGGGCUACACACGUACUACAAUGCUACGGACAAAGGGCAGCUACACAGCAAUGUGAUGCCAAUCUCAGAAACCGUAGCUCAGUUCAGAUCGCAGGCUGCAACUCGCCUGCGUGAAGGAGGAAUCGCUAGUAAUUGCAGGUCAGCAUACUGCAGUGAAUUCGUUCCCGGGCCUUGUACACACCGCCCGUCACACCAUGGAAGCUGGUCACGCCCGAAGUCGUUACCCCAACUUUUCGGAGAGGGGGAUGCCGAAGGCAGGACUGGUGACUGGGGUGAAGUCGUAACAAGGUAGCCGUACCGGAAGGUGUGGCUGGAUCACCUCCUUUUAGGGAGACCGAAUCCACUCAAACAUCGAAAACAGAUUGUGAUUAGAUAUUGAGUUGGUCAUUCCUAGGUCGKUAGAGUAUUSRWGAAAGCUUUCAAAGUAUUUUUGGUUCAGUUCAUAAAUAUSUCAAUWUWCAAKRKAAAGAWAAAUUCAGCAAUUGAUUGUGAAAGCAAUCGAACUGCUGGGUGAUUAUCCAGCCAGAACCUUGAAAACUGCAUAGUAACGCGAAAAAAAGCAGGCAGACGAAUCGAAGUGCUGAAUACGUGAAUUCUUCUAUUUGAGUC
rnacentral:rRNA from 1 species